UACGAAGGGUGCAAGCGUUAUCCGGAUUUACUGGGUGUAAAGGGAGCGUAGGUGGUUAGAUAAGUCAGAUGUGAAAGCCCGGGGCUCAACCCCGGGACUGCAUUUGAAACUAUCUAACUAGAGUGCAGGAGAGGUAAGUGGAAUUCCUAGUGUAGCGGUGAAAUGCGUAGAUAUUAGGAGGAGCACCAGUGGCGAAGGCGGCUUACUGGACUGUAACUGACACUGAGGCUCGAAAGCGUGGGGAGCAAACAGG
rnacentral:rRNA from 1 species